rnacentral:misc_RNA from 1 species
GAUGAAGAACGUAGCGAAAUGCGAUAAGUAAUGUGAAUUGCAGAAUUCAGUGAAUCAUCGAAUCUUUGAACGCACAUUGCGCCCGCCAGUAUUCUGGCGGGCAUGCCUGUUCGAGCGUCAUUUCAACCAUCAAGCCCCCGGCUUGUGUUGGGGACCUGCGGCUGCCGCAGGCCCUGAAAAGCAGUGGCGGGCUCGCUGUCACACCGAGCGUAGUAGCAUACAUCUCGCUCUGGGCGUGCUGCGGGUUCCGGCCGUUAAACCACCUUCAUAACCCAAGGUUGACCUCGGAUCAGGUAGGUAGACCCGCUGAACUUAAGCAUAUCAAUAAGCGGAGGA